CCAGCAAUAAAGCAAAAGAAUGAAAUUUUACCACCUGCAACAACAAGGACAGACCUGGAGAAUAUUAUGAUUAAUGAAGUAAGUCAGACAGAGAAAGACAAAUGCUGUAUGUUUUCACUUCUAUGUGGAAUC